UACGGAGGGUGCAAGCGUUAUCCGGAUUUACUGGGUUUAAAGGGUGCGUAGGUGGGUAGGUAAGUCAGUGGUGAAAUCUUCGAGCUUAACUCGGAAACUGCCAUUGAUACUAUUUAUCUUGAAUACUUUGGAGGUAAGCGGAAUAUGUCAUGUAGCGGUGAAAUGCUUAGAUAUCGGAAGGAACGCCGGUGGCGAAAGCGAGCUGCUGGAUCCCUCCUGACGCUGAGGCGCGAAAGCCAGGGGAGCGAACGGG
rnacentral:rRNA from 1 species